rnacentral:rRNA from 1 species
UACGUAGGGGGCAAGCGUUGUCCGGAAUCAUUGGGCGUAAAAAGCGUGUAGGCGGCCCGAUAAGUCCGCUGUGAAAGUCCAGGGCUCAACCCUGGAAUGCCGGUGGAUACUGUCGGGCUCGAAUCCGGAAGAGGUGAGUGGAAUUCCUGGUGUAGCGGUGAAAUGCGCAGAUAUCAGGAGGAACACCAAUUGCGAAGGCAGCUCGCUGGGACGUUACUGACGCUGAGACGCGAAAGCGUGGGGAGCAAACAGG